rnacentral:rRNA from 1 species
GAUUCGUCACACUAUCAUUAACUGAAUCCAUAGGUUAAUGAGGCGAACCGGGGGAACUGAAACAUCUAAGUACCCCGAGGAAAAGAAAUCAACCGAGAUUCCCCCAGUAGCGGCGAGCGAACGGGGAGGAGCCCAGAGCCUGAAUCAGCAUGUGUGUUAGUGGAAGCGUCUGGAAAGGCGCGCGAUACAGGGUGACAGCCCCGUACACAAAAGCGCAUGUGCUGUGAGCUCGAUGAGUAGGGCGGGACACGUGGUAUCCUGUCUGAAUAUGGGGGGACCAUCCUCCAAGGCUAAAUACUCCUGACUGACCGAUAGUGAACCAGUACCGUGAGGGAAAGGCGAAAAGAACCCCGGCGAGGGGAGUGAAAAAGAACCUGAAACCGUGUACGUACAAGCAGUGGGAGCCCCACCACUAA